AGCAGCCGCGGUAAUUCCAGCUCCAAUAGCGUAUAUUAAAGUUGUUGCAGUUAAACAGCUCGUAGUUGAAUUUCGGGAUCAGUUCGCUGGUCGUGCCUCUGGUAUGUACUGGUGUUACUGGUUCCUCCCUUCUGACGAACUGUCAUGUCAUUUAUUUGGUGUGGCAGGGAAUCAGGACUGUUACUUUGAAAAAUUAGAGCGUUUAAAGCAGGCUCGCGCUUGAAUACAUUAGCAUGGAAUAAUGAAAUAGGACGUUCGAUCCUAUUUUGUUGGUUUCUAGGAUUGACGUAAUGAUUAAUAGGGAUAGUUGGGGGCAUUAGUAUUCAAUUGUCAGAGGUGAAAUUCUUGGAUUUAUUGAAGACUAACUACUGCGAAAGCAUUUGCCAAGGAUGUUUUCAUUAAUCAAGAACGAAAGUUAGGGGAUCGAAGACGAUCAGAUACCGUCGUAGU
rnacentral:rRNA from 1 species